GUGAGGAAUUUUCCGCAAUGGGCGAAAGCCUGACGGAGCAAUGCCGCGUGAAGGAUGAAGGCCUAUGGGUUGUAAACUUCUUUUCUCAGAAAAGAAUUAUGACGGUAUCUGAGGAAUAAGCAUCGGCUAACUCUGUGCCAGCAGCCGCGGUAAGACAGAGGAUGCAAGCGUUAUCCGGAAUGAUUGGGCGUAAAGCGUCUGUAGGUUGUUUAAAAAGUAUUCUGUCAAAGAUUAGGGCUUAACCCUAGAUAGGCAGAAUAAACUUUUAAGCUAGAGUUUGGUAGAGGCAGAGGAAAUUCCCGGUGGAGCGGUGAAAUGCGUAGAUAUCGGGAGGAACACCAAAGGCGAAGGCACUCUGCUGGGCCAAUACUAACACUGAGAGACGAAAGCGAGGGGAGCAAAUGGGAUUAGAUACCCGGGUAGUCC
rnacentral:rRNA from 1 species